AACGCGCAGCGAGAGGUGCUUGCACCUUUCAAGCGAGUGGCGAACGGGUGAGUAACACGUGGAUAACCUGCCUCAAGGCUGGGGAUAACAUUUGGAAACAGAUGCUAAUACCGAAUAAAACUUAGUAUCGCAUGAUAUCAAGUUAAAAGGCGCUACGGCGUCACCUAGAGAUGGAUCCGCGGUGCAUUAGUUAGUUGGUGGGGUAAAGGCUUACCAAGACGAUGAUGCAUAGCCGAGUUGGGAGACUGAUCGGCCACAUUGGGACUGAGACACGGCCCAAACUCCUACGGGAGGCUGCAGUAGGGAAUCUUCCACAAUGGGCGCAAGCCUGAUGGAGCAACGCCGCGUGUGUGAUGAAGGCUUUCGGGUCGUAAAGCACUGUUGUAUGGGAAGAAAUGCUAAAAUAGGGAAUGAUUUUAGUUUGACGGUACCAUACCAGAAAGGGACGGCUAAAUACGUGCCAGCAGCCGCGGUAAUACGUAUGUCCCGAGCGUUAUCCGGAUUUAUUGGGCGUAAAGCCAGCGCAGACAGUUGAUUAAAUCUGAUGUGAAAACCCGGAGCUCAACUCCCGAAUGGCAUGGGAAACUGGUUAACUUGCGUGUUGUAGAGGUGAGUGGAACUCCCGUGUACCGGUGGACUGCGCAUAUAUAUGGAAGAACAACAACUGGCGAAGCGGCUUACUUGGCAACACCUGACAGUUGAUGACUCGCAGAUAUGGGUAGUUUACAGAUUAUAUACCCUGGUCGUCGAGACCACCCCACGCUGAGUAGAGGUGUGAUGACGGUGUCGUCCCCCCACU
rnacentral:rRNA from 1 species